rnacentral:rRNA from 1 species
CAGCCGCCGCGGUAAUACGGAGGGGGCUAGCGUUGUUCGGAAUUACUGGGCGUAAAGCGCACGUAGGCGGCUUGGUAAGUUAGAGGUGAAAGCCCGGAGCUCAACUCCGGAAUUGCCUUUAAGACUGCCGAGCUAGCAGGUGAGAGAGGUAAGUGGAAUUCCGAGUGUAGAGGUGAAAUUCGUAGAUAUUCGGAAGAACACCAGUGGCGAAGGCGGCUUACUGGCUCAUACUGGACGCUGAGGUGCGAAAGCGUGGGGAGCAAACGGGAUUAGAUACCCGCGUAGUCCCUGUCUCUUAUAC